rnacentral:lncRNA from 10 species
AGUUACAGAAAGAACCCACUGCAGGGCGUCCAGUCACUUGCCCAGUGAAAAGACUGUAAUCAGACAACUUUAAUAAAGGGAGAGCAGGAGAGUGGUGACGAAUUUCCACAUUCCGAACAAGCUUGUCGAAAGAGGAGUGCAGGGAAGGAGCAAGAAUGAGGCACUGGAAGACGGCUGUAGGCGCAUGAUGUCACAAGUUAUUGGAAGAAAUCCCUCCAACCUAGGUUGGGACAGAUGAAGGCGGCGCUUAUUGGUGUUCACCAAAACACCAGCAUGGUGUACCAGCUUUGGCUAGAUGAUGCUCAGAUAAAUACCUGGAGUGGGAUUGCUAGAUCACAUGGAAAACACAGAUCCUGGUGCCGAACAUGAGGACAGGGCAGGCCGAAGGAGAAAGUGGAAGGAGGGGAGCUUCUCUCUCAGCCUCAUCCUUCUGGGCCUGGAUGCUGGAGAGUCAUGAGGUGCUUCAGAGUACUCUGGGUGAGGAGGGAAAGAUGGUGCCCACCACAUGGAGGCCAGCCUAGGUCUUGUAUGAAACCUGUGAGGAGAUUCUCUCUCCCUUGCUGUCUUUGAAAAAGCAAGUUGCCAUGUGAAGAGGGCCAUAUAGCAUAGGAGCUGAAGGCAGCCUCCAACUGACGG